UGGGAAUCUUGGACAAUGGGGCAACCCUGAUCCAGCAAUGCCGCGUGUGGGAUGAAGGCCUUCGGUUGUAAACCACUUUGGCGGGGCGAAAUAUCGAGUGCUAAUACCAUUCGGUGAUGACGGUACCCGCAGAAUAAGCACCGGCUAACUACGUGCCAGCAGCCGCGGUAAUACGUAGGGUGCAAGCGUUAAUCGGAAUUACUGGGCGUAAAGCGUGCGCAGGCGGUUAGGUAAGACAGGUGUGAAAUUCCCGGGCUCAACCUGGGAACUGCAUUUGUGACUGCCUGACUAGAGUGCGGCAGAGGGGAGUGGAAUUCCGCGUGUAGCAGUGAAAUGCGUAGAUAUGCGGAGGAACACCGAUGGCGAA
rnacentral:rRNA from 1 species